UGCAUUUUAUAGAGGAAAAAAAACCUGUCAUAGUUAAGAUUUAAAUUUUUUCACUGAUCCCAUCCAUUUCUUUUUGACAGAAUGGCGAUAUCAGUCAUCCAAUGCUGUAGCAGCACUCUGAUCUGCAAGACUGAGAGAUUUUGAAAAACAUCUCAUCUAGAAAUCAGAACUUUUGCAUAAAGGCUUUCAGAUCACACUUCAUCCUACAGCUGUGUCUUCAGGAAGGAGCUUCUGCAUGGGAAUGAAGCGCAUCUAUGCUGCAGUAUAUGAUUCAUCAGAUACGCUCUUCUGCAUUUUUCCAAUAUCUAUCUCCUUCAACGUUUCUAGGCAGUAUCAUCAGGCUCCUUAGUGCAUUGCCUUAGGUAUUUGUGUUUCUCCUCGAUGGGCUCCUCCCAUGAACUAAGAAAUUGAUUAUUGUCUGGAUUUUAUAAGAUCAAAUCACAUAAUGAUCCCCACAUUACAAACAGCAGAUUUUGGCUCAGUUUGCUGCACUUUUUUCCUUUCCUAAUUCUCUCUCCAGAGCCUUAGUCAAGAAGACAGGCUGUGUAUUUCUCAACAGGUUUCCCUGCUAUGCUCCUCAUUUGGAACUGAAGUUAAUUAACAAUUCUUCCAAGCACUUGUUGGCCUUCAGUGAUGCUUGAACAGUGGGUUCUGCAGCCUUGAAAGUGAGACUGUAAAUAAUGGAGAUCUCUUGGGUCAGCUUUUAAAAGAAGAGAUUGCUGUCCCAUCCCAAAGCGAAAAUAUUAUUGUUCUUUGUAAACUAACACACCCCUCAUUUUCCCAAAUGUGAAGACAGUGUCAAAGGGAAGGGCAGUGGAAAUACCACAGAAAUACCAUAAUUCCUUAACUGAAAAAUAGGAGUAAGAGCACUUUCAAACUUACCGUGUAUUUUGAGAGAAAACUAUUAAUGAAGGAUGGCCUCAUUAAAAGAUGCUAUAGAAGUAUUUCAGGCAGGCAAUCUGUAUAGAUACUCUGUUUUGGGCAAAUUUGUUUGUAUUGUUGCAUGCUACUAAAACAUAAAGAAGUUUCUGCUUCUUUAAGGAUCUAAUGCUCUCUGAGCCUGCAUCUACUUGAGCAAAUACUGCAGCUCAACAGGACUGGACCUGUAGAGGUGCUGAG
rnacentral:lncRNA from 1 species